AUUGAACGCUAGCGGCAUGCCUUACACAUGCAAGUCGAACGGCAGCACGGGGCAACCUGGUGGCGAGUGGCGAACGGGUGAGUAAUGUAUCGGAACGUGCCCAGUAGCGGGGGAUAACUACGCGAAAGCGUAGCUAAUACCGCAUACGCCCUACGGGGGAAAGGGGGGGAUCGCAAGACCUCUCACUAUUGGAGCGGCCGAUAUCGGAUUAGCUAGUUGGUGAGGUAAAGGCUCACCAAGGCUUCGAUCCGUAGCUGGUUUGAGAGGACGACCAGCCACACUGGGACUGAGACACGGCCCAGACUCCUACGAGAGGCAGCAGUGGGGAAUUUUGGACAAUGGGGGCAACCCUGAUCCAGCAAUGCCGCGUGUGCGAAGAAGGCCUUCGGGUUGUAAAGCACUUUUGGCGGGAACGAAACGGUGCCGGAUAAUACCUGGCGCCACUGACGGUACCCGCAGAAUAAGCACCGGCUAACUACGUG
rnacentral:rRNA from 1 species